UACGAAGGGGGCAAGCGUUGCUCGGAAUCACUGGGCGUAAAGCGCACGUAGGCGGGUCGUUAAGUCAGGGGUGAAAUCCUGGAGCUCAACUCCAGAACUGCCUUUGAUACUGGCGACCUAGAGUUCGAGAGAGGUUGGUGGAACUGCGAGUGUAGAGGUGAAAUUCGUAGAUAUUCGCAAGAACACCAGUGGCGAAGGCGGCCAACUGGCUCGAUACUGACGCUGAGGUGCGAAAGCGUGGGGAGCAAAC
rnacentral:rRNA from 1 species